rnacentral:lncRNA from 1 species
AUUAACAUAUAACAGAAAUGCAGAUUUCUGGACGUUGCCUCAGAGAUUCGGCUUUGCUUGGUCUGUACUGUACCAUCUCUCCCAGCGGCUCUAAUGUUGUUGGACAGUAGUUACUGAAAGUAAUUCCAUGCUAUCCCCAACUCCUCUUGGCCUUCUUCUAUAGCAGAUAAUCUAGCACCUAUAAACAUCUGGAGCAUUAAUGUUCUGUUGAACACAGAUUGGGAAGCUAAGUACUGGAAAACACAGCAAAGGAGUCAGUAGAGAUAUUCGCCAGGAAAGAGGAAAGAGUUAUUUCAUGGAAAGCCUUUAGCUUUUUUCUGUGAAAACUAAGGACAAUUAAAUGUAGGCAUGAGGUCCUUUCAAGGCAGCAAGAAGUAUCACAUAGAUGACUCAGCGUCAUGCACAGGUGCUGGUUGGAUUCAGUUCUUGGACCUGGGAUCAUAGCCUAUUCAGAUUAUCAGUGAGAUGUUAAAGAAUUCCUGUCCAGGAUCAAAAACAAAGCAGGCAUUCUCUCUUUUUUACGGAUAUUGUCAUAAAGAGCUCUGUAUUUUAGGAAGGCCACCCGGUGAGAGUGUAGAGCUGAGAUGAAGGGAGGCAGGAGCCAUGUAUUAUAGAACUUAUAUUGAGAAGAUAUUGGAACUCAAG